rnacentral:rRNA from 1 species
AUUGAACGCUGGCGGCAGGCCUAACACAUGCAAGUCGAACGGUAACAGGAAGCAGCUUGCUGCUUUGCUGACGAGUGGCGGACGGGUGAGUAAUGUCUGGGAAACUGCCCGAUGGAGGGGGAUAACUACUGGAAACGGUAGCUAAUACCGCAUAACGUCGCAAGACCAAAGAGGGGGACCCUAGGGCCUCUUGCCAUCGGAUGUGCCCAGAUGGGAUUAGCUAGUAGGUGGGGUAACGGCUCACCUAGGCGACGAUCCCUAGCUGGUCUGAGAGGAUGACCAGCCACACUGGAACGGAGACACGGUCCAGACUCCUACGGGAGGCAGCAGUGGGGAAUAUUGCACAAUGGGCGCAAGCCUGAUGCAGCCAUGCCGCGUGUAUGAAGAAGGCCUUCGGGUUGUAAAGUACUUUCAGCGGGGAGGAAGGGAGUAAAGUUAAUACCUUCGCCCAUUGACGUUACCCGCAGAAGAAGCACCGGCUAACUCCGUG